UGAGCUUGAUCCUGGCUCAGAUUGAACGCUGGCGGCAGGCCUAACACAUGCAAGUCGAGCGGAAACGAUGGAAGCUUGCUUCCAGGCGUCGAGCGGCGGACGGGUGAGUAAUGCAUGGGAAUCUGCCCGAUAGUGGGGGAUAACCUGGGGAAACCCAGGCUAAUACCGCAUACGUCCUACGGGAGAAAGCAGGGGAUCUUCGGACCUUGCGCUAUCGGAUGAGCCCAUGUCGGAUUAGCUUGUUGGUGAGGUAAUGGCUCACCAAGGCGACGAUCCGUAGCUGGUCUGAGAGGAUGAUCAGCCACAUCGGGACUGAGACACGGCCCGAACUCCUACGGGAGGCAGCAGUGGGGAAUAUUGGACAAUGGGCGAAAGCCUGAUCCAGCCAUGCCGCGUGUGUGAAGAAGGCCCUCGGGUUGUAAAGCACUUUCAGUGGGGAAGAAAGCCUUGGGAUUAAUACUCCCGAGGAAGGACAUCACCCACAGAAGAAGCACCGGCUAACUCCGUGCCAGCAGCCUGUC
rnacentral:rRNA from 1 species